rnacentral:lncRNA from 1 species
CAUCUUGCCAUGCUGUGGCACUGAGCAUGAAGCCAUCAGGCCGGAAGUGGAGCCGAAAGAUGAGACUAGAGACCAGGCGCAGUGGCUCACGCCUGUAAUCCCAGCACUCUGGGAGACCGAGGCAGGCGGAUCACGAGACGGAAGUUUCCCUCUUUUUGCUCAAGGUGGAGUGCAAUGGCGCGAUCUCGGCUCACUGCAACCUCCGCCUCCCGGAUUCAAGCGAUUCUCCUGCUUCAGCCUCCUGAGUAGCUGAGAUUACAGACAUGAGACACCGCGCCCGGCCUAAAAUGUCAUUUUCUUCGGUGCCACGGGGAAGUGAAAUAGUCCUGAACAAAAUUAUAUAUCCUAUCUGAGGUUGGGAUGAGGCACAGAGGUGGGAAGAAAAAGUCCACAGUCAAGUACAUGGGCUGGACAUAUAAUGAGAGCAAGACUGAAAUGCUGAGGGGGCUGCAGGGAGAGGCACAAGUUACUUGCAUAUAGCGGUGAUAAGCCUAAGUGAGGCAAACUGAAGCCCUCAGGGUUUUCUAUGUUUUUGUUUUCCAUGUGGCUAAAAAUUCUGUGAUUUUUGUAUACUACUGCAGAAAUACAGAAUCAGGUCUUUUAUUUCAUAACUUACUGACACUGGCUUAAUUUCUUUGCACAGUUCUACCCUAUUUCCAAAAAGCUAAAGAGAGGAAUGUGCUAGACCACCCUCCCCGCCUCACUAUGCCAUAGUCUCUUUUGGGCACACAUUAUAUUCCUAUCCAUGACAAGCAGCCAGGGCAGAAGAGCUCUCUACAUAUGUGCCACCUUGUCUCCAAAACCUGCUGUCCCCUUUGGACAGACUGGCCCAUCCCUGACCACUGUUCUCCCCUCUGUCUUCAAUUCCUGAUGGCAACAAGAGAGAUUCUCUGACUGUUUCCAAGGAUGUCAUUCUCAGCCUCACCUCCAAGUUUGAUUUUAUAGAACAACCAAUAAAUGUGGUUUCACCUUCCUUGAGUUU